CCUUGCGGCCAUAGCGUCUUGGUCCCACCCCUUCCCAUCCCGAACAGGAGCGUGAAACGAGACUGCGCCGAUGAUAGUGCGGCAACCCGUGCGAAAGUAGGUCACCGCAAGGC
rnacentral:rRNA from 1 species